ensembl:lncRNA
AAAGGUGGUUUGGGCCAACAGGAGAACACCCAGCCUCACACAAACCACCGCAGCAGGAACGAAGAGGUGCAGGUUUAGGACUUUAACAGGCCCUAAGGAGUGAAUCUGAUCUGGUCAAAUUAUGUGUAGCCUUCCUAUGGUGCCUCUGUGUUGCACAGGUAGACAAUACAGAAGGGUCCUUUGCCAACAAAGGUAUGGCAACAACUGAGUGGCUCACGCAUCCCUCUCUUACUUUAAAGUUAAAAAUCAUCGUAAGCCCAUAGACUAGCAUACAGUAUGUCUGACACCACGAAGGCAGUUCAACUUGUCAGCCUAAUUUUGAGAGCACUGCAGAAUUCUUUAGUGUAAAUAGCAGGGAUCCCCAGUGUAAAUAACGGGACAGUAGAACCUGAGGGAGCUGCGCCAAGUUUGGUACGAGGCAGGAUUCAGCACUCAAUAACAGAAAAUGGAGACGUUUCCUCCUCCACCUCGCCCUCAAUUGUGCUUUUAGGCAUCUCGAAAAGCAAGGAUCAAGGAGGUCACAUUUCUGGCUGGAUUCCCAGCUCUAAUUCAAGUGCAGCACUGUCCGCUACACAGCUUUCUAACGGAGCAAAAUACACUUGAGAUAAUUUGUACUGUAAUUAGAAACCUUGCCUACAAUUUUAAUUGGAAAAAAAAAAUCUCAUCUCCAAUAAAUAGAAUUUAUUAAAUACUCACCACUAUGCUGGGGUGUUUAUUAUGCCAUAUUUACAUGUUUCCACCCAAACUCUGGAAAAGUUUAACAGGAAUGAAAAUGCAUGAGGCAAAAAUAAAUCUACAUCUACCUAUGCUUUUUCUAUGUGUACACAAGUGUAGUAAAAUGCAACCAAAACGGAAUUAACAUCUUCAUGUAAAAGUGACAGAGAAGAAAAGCAAGGAGUAUUCACAGAUAUGGAAAGGAUGAUAAAUUUCUGAAGGUUUCUGUCUGAAAUCAACAGGUUGAUCAUUACAGUUUUGUAUUUUAAGUUUGGCUAGGACAGAUUAUUUGGUGGCAGCAGUGGAAACAAAAGUCUCCUUUGCAACAUCUCCAUCUGCUAACUGAGCAUGAAGAUGUGAGUGUAUAGGUUGGUAAUAAUGCUCUUAGUUCUUCUUUAAAAUAAACAAUAAUGUCAAGUGAUCUGGUCACCUACACUCAGCUAGCAGACAGGACACCAAGUAAGCACAAUGGGAUCCUAAUGGCUCAAGCCAGCAAGCAAGAGUGCUGCUGAAUUCUGAACAAGCUGCAAAUGGAGAGGGCAGUCCCAAAAACAAGAACCCUACGGAGAGCAACAGGUUCAGCCUAAUGCAUUUUCCUGCUUUUAGCAUAAGGGUUAUUCCAACAAGGUCACCUCAAACCUCAAGGAGCGUUAAUGGAAGCAGCUGUCUCAGAGAGCUCUUCUCAUAUGUCCCAGCCCUUCUUUUAGGGCUGGGAAGCGGCACGUGAGAUGGUCAACCCACACUAAAAAAUAGUUCUGCUGUUUUGGAGUACUGAUGCAAGUGAGAAGCACCCCAGAUGCCUUUGCAGGGCCCACCCUCAGACUGAACAUGAACGGGGCUGAGGAAUUUGGAGGAAAGUUCUUGAGCUGCUUUUGCGCAGGGAUUUGUUCUGCUCUAUCCCUUGCUCCAAAGGCCAGGCUGAGCCCUGCAGCUGCUCCCAUGGGAAAGACUUUAUGGACCUAGAGGAAGGCAGGAUGAAAACUUGCCCAUGCCUCAAGAAUUGCCAUGAACUGGAAUAGCUUGUAUUUCAGAUUUAGAAAACAAAAUGGAAGAUGCAGGUAGCGCACCCAGGGUAGCUCUGGUCUACUGCAUUCUGCACAAAAUAAGGCAUAAAGCAGCUGUCCUUCUAGUUGCUGUGUCCCAACAGAAAUUUAAAGGCAAAAGUCCCAGUCAC